UACAGAGGUCUCAAGCGUUGUUCGGAUUCAUUGGGCGUAAAGGGUGCGUAGGUGGCGCCAUAAGUCAGGUGUGAAAUCUCGGGGCUUAACUCCGAAACUGCAUUGAUACUGUGGUGCUUGAGGACUGGAGAGGGAGACUGGAAUUCACGGUGUAGCAGUGAAAUGCGUAGAUAUCGUGAGGAAGACCAGUGGCGAAGGCGGGUCUCUUGGACGAGUUCCUGA
rnacentral:rRNA from 1 species